UCGGAGCGCGGGGGCCGGCCGAGAGGAAAGCUGGAGGCGCGGGUGGGGAACAUGUCGGAGUCAGAGCUCGGCAGGAAGUGGGACCGGUGCCUGGCGGAUGCGGUCGUGAAGAUAGUAGGGACGGGGUUUCACUGUGUUAGCCAGGAUGGUCUCGAUCUCCUGACCUUGUGAUCCGCCCGCCUUGGCCUCCCAAAGUGCUGGGAUUACAGGUACUGGUUUUGGAUUAGGAAUUGUUUUCUCACUUACCUUCUUUAAAAGAAGAAUGUGGCCAUUAGCCUUUGGUUCCGGCAUGGGAUUAGGAAUGGCUUAUUCCAACUGUCAGCAUGAUUUCCAGG
rnacentral:sRNA from 1 species